rnacentral:tRNA from 1 species
ACAAAAUGGCUGAUAAAAGCAUGGAACUGUAAAUUCUUUUAUAAACAUUG